GCCUUCGUGGUGUAGUGGUCAGCACGCUCGACGCGUAACCGAGAGGUCCGUGGUUCGAUUCCCGGUGAAGGCG
rfam:Stegodyphus mimosarum contig21660, whole genome shotgun sequence.